rnacentral:misc_RNA from 1 species
GAUGAAGAACGCAGCGAAAUGCGAUAAGUAGUGUGAAUUGCAGAAUUCAGUGAAUCAUCGAAUCUUUGAACGCACAUUGCGCCCCUUGGUAUUCCAUGGGGCAUGCCUGUUCGAGCGUCAUUUGUACCUUCAAGCUUUGCUUGGUGUUGGGUGUUUGUCCUGAGGGACUCGCCUUAAAGUAAUUGGCAGCCAGUGUUUGGUUUUGAAGCGCAGCACAAGUCGCGAUUCAAAGCUAUACGCCCGCUUCCACAAGCCUUUUUCACUUUUGACCUCGGAUCAGGUAGGGAUACCCGCUGAACUUAAGCAUAUCAAUAAGCGGAGGGA